rnacentral:rRNA from 1 species
CCGCCUGGGGAGUACGGUCGCAAGAUUAAAACUCAAAUGAAUUGACGGGGGCCCGCACAAGCGGUGGAGCAUGUGGUUUAAUUCGAUGCAACGCGAAGAACCUUACCUACUCUUGACAUCCAGAGAACUUUCCAGAGAUGGAUUGGUGCCUUCGGGAACUCUGAGACAGGUGCUGCAUGGCUGUCGUCAGCUCGUGUUGUGAAAUGUUGGGUUAAGUCCCGCAACGAGCGCAACCCUUAUCCUUGUUUGCCAGCGAGUAAUGUCGGGAACUCCAGGGAGACUGCCGGUGAUAAACCGGAGGAAGGUGGGGACGACGUCAAGUCAUCAUGGCCCUUACGAGUAGGGCUACACACGUGCUACAAUGGCGCAUACAGAGGGC